rnacentral:rRNA from 1 species
GACGAACGCUGGCGGCGUGCUUAACACAUGCAAGUCGAGCGGUAAGGCCCUUUCGGGGGUACACGAGCGGCGAACGGGUGAGUAACACGUGGGUGACCUGCCCUCAGCUCUGGGAUAAGCCUGGGAAACCGGGUCUAAUACUGGAUAUGACUCCAUGACGCAUGUUGUGGGGUGGAAAGCCUUGUGCGGCUGAGGAUGGGCCCGCGGCCUAUCAGCUUGUUGGUGGGGUGANGGCCUACCAAGGCGACGACGGGUAGCCGGCCUGAGAGGGCGACCGGCCACACUGGGACUGAGACACGGCCCAGACUCCUACGGGAGGCGGGCAGUGGGGAAUCUUGCGCAAUGGGCGAAAGCCUGACGCAGCGACGCCGCGUGAGGGAUGACGGCCU